rnacentral:rRNA from 1 species
GUCUACAGCCAUGCCACCCUGAACAAGUCCAAUCUUGUCUAAUCUCAGAAGCUAAGCAGAGUCGGGUCUGGUUAGUACUUGGAUAAAAGACCACCUAGGAAGACCAGGUGCUGUAGGCG